GCCGAGGACAAGCUCCUAUGUGAGUGUUGGAGGGACAUUGGGCAAGACCCCUAGACCGACGCUGAACAAAAGGCAUCAACCUUUUGGACUCGUGUCCAUCGUGAGUUCCAUGAACGCAAGAAGUUUCAGCCGUACCAAAUGCAAAGCACGCGCGGGUGGGUAUCCAUUUCUAAGCGAUGGAAGGUGAUCCAACAAGAGUGCAACAAGUUUCGUGCCACUCUUGAGAGCAUCAAGGCACACCCGUGA
rnacentral:rRNA from 1 species